UUCAACAUCUGACACAAGACUCAGACCAACAAGAAUAACACCACACUAUCAAGGAAACUGGUUUUUCAUGUUGUGUGCAUGUGGAAACAUCACGUGGAGCUGCUGUGCUGAUAUUAUCCACAGAUUAAACUUCUCCCGUCUGGUUGGCGAGGAAGCAGCCGUCAUCGUGGAGUCAGACCGGCUUCACCAGCAAGGGUCGCCCUCGGUGCAUCGUCCUGCGCUCUGCAGGCUUUGGUCGAGUGCUGACGUCCCCUCUUCUUUGGCCCAUCAUCAUCCUCACCUGGAGCUGCUGCUGUAUGAUCCGACACCUCAGACCAGGACGUCUCUGAAACACCUGUAUCUAUGAGAACAUUAAGGUCCACAGACCUUUGCUGUCUGUCUUCAACUGUGUGAGUCCUCAGUGAGUUCACUCCCUCUGUAGCCCGGUUAGUGCUGUCGGCUCUUCCUGACGUUCCCCGUGAUAACAGACGGUGCUCGUGGUUUGUACAGUCUUAGAUGCAGCUCUGCAUCCCCGUCUCCUCCUCACGUCAGUCUUUUUUAGAGCCAACAGCUGUUCUCAAGUGUAAACAAGAGAGCUGUGUUUUUUAUUGUUUUUUAUUUUGAAUGUGUGAACAGAUGUUUCAUGAAGUGUGACAGGAAAAAGUCAAAUCACUGAUCUCGUAGUUCAAGCAAACAAAACAGAUGAAGGUUGAUGUCAAACAAAGUGUUCAGAGCGCCAUGACAACAGAAGAAAGCCGUCAUGUUAAUAUUCACUGAUAAUCAGGCUGUCGUUAUAAAUAAGUUUGAAUAUGAUUGUUCUUUUUUUUUUCUUUCUUUGCUCAGUUCAUGUUCGAUGUCGACACAAGUGUCAGCUGCUGAACCCCCCUCCGUUUUUUUAAUCAAUGAAACAAGCAAAG